UUAGAAAGGUACUGUGUUAGCAAAACGAAGGUCAUUAAUUAAAAGGUGAAUAUAAUUUAGAGCCCCUUGGCACCCACCCAGUAGAAACAGCUUAUGGAAGCUCUAGCCCUCGAGCUCUGCCAAUGCGAGAUUGCCCGUUGCAAAAAAAGCAAUCCACUUUGCAGUGCUAAACGGCCUGCAAAUUCUUAACGAGAAAAGUAUUCAUAAUUCUCUAAUGUAAAAUUCUUAACAGCACUUCCCAAGGAGUCAAAAAGAGAAAAGUAGAGUCAACUUCUGAUUUCACAGUUGCUUUGUUCUUUUUCUUAUUGCCUUUGUUUUCUUCUUCCUCUAUUCUGCUGUGUGUAAUACUGUGCUAAUCAUUGCGGAUAUCCUGAUCUGAACUCACUCUUAUCUAUUGACAACUACAUUUGGUCCUUGCGUUUCAAAUUACAAUAUUUGUUUUUUUCUUUUUGUUUUUUCAAUUUACAAGAGGCAGACAACCGAUUUG
rnacentral:misc_RNA from 1 species